rnacentral:rRNA from 1 species
AGGACGAACGCUGGCGGCGUGCUUAACACAUGCAAGUCACGGGGGCCCGCAAGGGCAACCGGCGAACGGGUGCGUAACACGUGAGCAACCUGCCGAUCUGUGGGGGAUAGCCGGGCUAACGCCCGGGUAAUACCGCAUACGGUUGCCGAGGGGAGUCCCUUGGCAAAGAAACCUCCGGGGCAGAUCGAGGGGCUCGCGGCCUAUCAGCUAGUUGGGGGGGUAAUGGCCCACCAAGGCGACGACGGGUAGCUGGUCUGAGAGGAUGGCCAGCCACAUUGGGACUGAGAGACGGCCCAGACUCCUACGGGAGGCAGCAGUGGGGAAUCUUGCGCAAUGGCCGAAAGGCUGACGCAGCGACGCCGCGUGUGGGAGGACGCCUUUCGGGGUGUAAACCACUGUUGCCCGGGACGAAGUAUCCUGUUUUGACAGGAUUGACGGUACCGGGUGAGGAAGCACCGGCUAACUCCGCGCCAGCAGCCGC